GUCCUUAAGUAUGGGCUGCAGCAGGUUAGUGGCUAUGGUGGCCUCCAUGUCUAUCUGUGGAUUUUCUUCAGGGCAAAUUAUAUGAGGGUUGGUGCACUGGUGGGGAAAGAAAAAUAUGGAAACAAAUACCAUGAAGACAACAAUCAAUUUUUUGGCCAUCACCAAUGAUUUAUAGAUGCUGCUGAAAUUAAUGGCAAAACACAAUCUGGGAUGUGAAUGAGAGCACGGUACCUCCCAAAUGGCACAGGUGGUUUCACUGUAUGACUGCUGAUUCUCCAAAAACAAAAUGACCCACUCCUCUUAAAUUCAUUUAGACAAACCCUAAAUUCAAAAUCCAGAACAGUAUUACCUUAUUCUACUACUAGAAAGAAGAUACAGAAGUGAGUCUCACCUUCAGCACUUUACA
rnacentral:lncRNA from 1 species